rnacentral:rRNA from 1 species
GAUGAACGCUGGCGGCGUGCCUAACACAUGCAAGUCGAGCGAUUCUCUUCGGAGAAGAGCGGCGGACGGGUGAGUAACGCGUGGGUAACCUGCCCUGUACACACGGAUAACAUACCGAAAGGUAUGCUAAUACGAGAUAAUAUGCUUUUAUCGCAUGGUAGAAGUAUCAAAGCUCCGGCGGUACAGGAAGGACCCGCGUCUGAUUAGCUAGUUGGUAGGUAACGGCUUACCAAGGCGACGAUCAGUAGCCGACCUGAGAGGGUGCUCGGCCACAUUGGAACUGAGACACGGUCCAAACUCCUACGGGAGGCAGCAGUGGGGAAUAUUGCACAAUGGGCGAAAGCCUGAUGCAGCAACGCCGCGUGAGCGAUGGAGGCCUUCGGGUCGUAAAGCUCUGUCCUCAAGGAAGAUAAUGACGGUACUUGAGGAGGAAGCCCCGGCUAACUACGUGCCAGCCGCCGCAGUAA